AUGAAAUGUAAACUUUACAAUGGAGGAAACAACUUGACACUCAUCUGAACUGAUCAUCGCCAAAGCCUGAGUCAGCUCCAACAUGAAACUCAGUUCCCUUUCUUCAUUGUCCUCAAAGCAACAUUGACAUACUGGGGAGCUACAGUGAAAGAUCACAUUCCCUGACAGAAGAUGACAAUUCACCAGCAUGGAAUUCAUCCAAAGGACCACACCGCCAGUCUGAAGAUGUCUCCCAGAAAGGAAAUGAUCAAGUGUGCUGAGCAACUGCAGCCUUUUGUUGAAAUAAAGAUGCACACAUGCGCA